rnacentral:lncRNA from 1 species
ACCAUGUGAUUUGGUUUAUUUUGAUCCAGCAGUUCUUUCCAAGGCAGAUCUCACAAUUAAUCUUUUAAUUGGAAGUGGACUUGCACAAGAGCUGCAGGAUGUAGGGCACAGUUUAUAAAAAUGCCCGAAUGUCUACUAUGAAGAGAGGAGCUGCUGUGAAGGAAGGCUGUCUGGUUGGUGUAUUAGCUGUUGGUCACAUACACCUGGUCUGAAAGCGACUGGCGUCUGAAACACCUUGGACCUGCCAAAGGCAACCUAGUCUACCUGUGGAUGCUGUGAACUAGGAGCUGACCAAAAAGUGGGAGAGCUCCAGGAUCCGUCCCUGGAAAAGGUAAGGUCUGGAGGGUAAAACUGGUUGGACUGCACUUGUAGACCAGAAGAACAGAGCAGUUCUCUGAGUA